CCUACGGGAGGCAGCAGUGAGGAAUAUUGGUCAAUGGUCGGGAGACUGAACCAGCCAAGCCGCGUGAGGGAUGAAGGUACAGAGUAUCGUAAACCUCUUUUGUCAGGGCACAAAGGCGGGGACGUGUCCCCGGAUGAGUGUACCUGAAGAAAAAGCAUCGGCUAACUCCGUGCCAGCAGCCGCGGUAAUACGGAGGAUGCGAGCGUUAUCCGGAUUUAGUGGGUUUAAAGGGUGCGCAGGCGGUCUGUUAAGUCAGCGGUCAAAGCCCGGGGCUCAACCCCGGCCCGCCGUUGAAACGGGCAGUCUCGAGUUGGAGAGAAGUAUGCGGAAUGCGCGGUGUAGCGGUGAAAUGCAUAGAUAUCGCGCAGAACUCCGAUUGCGAAGGCAGCAUGCCGGCUCCACACUGACGCUGAGGCACGAAAGCGUGGGUAUCGAACAGGAUUAGAUACCCCAGUAGUC
rnacentral:rRNA from 1 species